rnacentral:rRNA from 1 species
UACGGAGGGUGCAAGCGUUAUCCGGAUUCACUGGGUUUAAAGGGUGCGUAGGUGGGCAGUUAAGUCAGUGGUGAAAUCUCCGGGCUUAACCCGGAAACUGCCAUUGAUACUAUCUGUCUUGAAUGUCGUGGAGGUGAGCGGAAUAUGUCAUGUAGCGGUGAAAUGCUUAGAUAUGACAUAGAACACCAAUUGCGAAGGCAGCUCACUACACGGAUAUUGACACUGAGGCACGAAAGCGUGGGGAUCAAACAGG